CAGCAGCCACGGUAACACGUAGGGUGCAAGCGUUAUCCGGAAUUAUUGGGCGUAAAGAGCUCGUAGGCGGUUUGUCGCGUCUGCUGUGAAAACCCGAGGCUCAACCUCGGGCCUGCAGUGGGUACGGGCAAACUAGAGUGCGGUAGGGGAGAUUGGAAUUCCUGGUGUAGCGGUGGAAUGCGCAGAUAUCAGGAGGAACACCGAUGGCGAAGGCGGCCAUCUGGGACAACACUGACGCUGAGGCACGAAAGCGUGGGGAGCAAACAGGAUUAGAUACCCCCGUAGUCCCUGUCUCUUAUAA
rnacentral:rRNA from 1 species